rnacentral:rRNA from 1 species
GACGAACGCUGGCGGCGUGCCUAAUACAUGCAAGUAGAACGCUGAAGGAGGAGCUUGCUUCUCUGGAUGAGUUGCGAACGGGUGAGUAACGCGUAGGUAACCUGCCUGGUAGCGGGGGAUAACUAUUGGAAACGAUAGCUAAUACCGCAUAAUAGUAGAUGUUGCAUGACAUUUGCUUAAAAGGUGCAAUUGCAUCACUACCAGAUGGACCUGCGUUGUAUUAGCUAGUUGGUGGGGUAACGGCUCACCAAGGCGACGAUACAUAGCCGACCUGAGAGGGUGAUCGGCCACACUGGGACUGAGACACGGCCCAGACUCCUACGGGAGGCAGCAGUAGGGAAUCUUCGGCGCUGGACGGAAGUCUGACCGCGCACCGCCGCGUGAGUGAAGAAGGUUUUCGGAUCGUAAAGCUCUGUUGUAAGAGAAGAACGAGUGUGAGAGUGGAAAGUUCCCACUGUGACGGUAUCUUACCAGAAAGGGACGGCUAACUACGUG